CGCUAGCGCCAGUUCAAAUCGCAUUGGAAAUUUGGCGAUUCUCCGUUCCGUCAAUCAAAUCGUUCGGAUUUAUGACCUAGCCAUUUGAAGUUCAACGCUGAGAACGUACAGUGUUUGCAAAGUUACCAAAUGAACGUUAUUUCCAAUCCUUUGAUCAAACAAACACAAUAGAAAAGAAAAUAACAAGACCCUGYUGGCAGCGUAGACCGGUCUCUAAGAAUUUAAAGAAGAAGUGACAAUAAGUUGCAAAAAAGGCAGAGCGUUUAAGCCAUACUGAUUAGUCUGAUGUGUCCUCGAAUAACUCAAUCUGGAUCUCCAAUACGUCCAACAGACCAUUUUCUCAAGGUUGCGUGCGCAUCCAACUUGA